rnacentral:misc_RNA from 1 species
ACAAUCGGCCUUUGUCCCGAUUGCUGAGUGUUAUGUGCUUGAUGUUAAAGAUUCUUGGCGUCUUUGAUGUAUGUUACAUAGAUAAUCAGUUGCUUUGUAGCAUAAUAGAGCUAACCAGUUGGCUUGCAACAUAGCAAUUGUCUUAGAUUUCAUUGAGGCAUGGUGAUCAUAGGGACGGAAGGUGGCUUUCGAGAAUUUUCGCAUCGUUCGGUUCAUUUUGGGGGCUAUUUUGGCUUUUGGUUGCCUACAUGGUGAUUUUACUAUGUUGGUGGCUAAUUGUCGGAUGGUCUCUGAGUAUGUAGACCGUAAAGGUGCAUGAGUGGUGUUUGGUUUGUUAUGGGUGGUUGGCUCUUUGCUUGUGCAACAACUUCCACCUGUCUUACCUUUUCAGAAUAUGUUUGGGCUUGGUUAGUCUAAGCAGUUAUUGGGUUUUCUGUGCUCACUACCUAUGUUAUGGCAUUCUCCUGAUUGAUUGGUGUUACUUUUUGACGUGUGUCAUUGUCAUGAUACAUGAGAACUUUGAAGUAGUCCUUUGUUCCACAAUCUUAAUGCAUGCGUUAAUCUUGUGGCUCAGUGGGUGUUGCUUGGUAUCUUGAAUAUAGAAUUUGAUGUGGGCAAAAGCGGUUUCUUGUAUCCUUGAUUUGUCCUUAUUCAGCGUUCAGCCUUUAAGAAAAUGACUGUUUAUCCCGUCUUGUGCUUGUGCUAAUAGCGGGGGAGAUGUGUCAAAGAAGAAUGCUAC